rnacentral:rRNA from 1 species
ACGCUGAAGAGAGGAGCUUGCUCUUCUUGGAUGAGUUGCGAACGGGUGAGUAACGCGUAGGUAACCUGCCUUGUAGCGGGGGAUAACUAUUGGAAACGAUAGCUAAUACCGCAUAACAAUGGAUGACACAUGUCAUUUAUUUGAAAGGGGCAAUUGUUCCACUACAAGAUGGACCUGCGUUGUAUUAGCUAGUAGGUGAGGUAAUGGCUCACCUAGGCGACGAUACAUAGCCGACCUGAGAGGGUGAUCGGCCACACUGGGACUGAGACACGGCCCAGACUCCUACGGGAGGCAGCAGUAGGGAAUCUUCGGCAAUGGGGGCAACCCUGACCGAGCAACGCCGCGUGAGUGAAGAAGGUUUUCGGAUCGUAAAGCUCUGUUGUAAGUCAAGAACGGGUGUGAGAGUGGAAAGUUCACACUGUGACGGUAGCUUACCAGAAAGGGACGGCUAACUACGUGCCAGCAGCCGCGGUAAUACGUAGGUCCCGAGCGUUGUCCGGAUUUAUUGGGCGUAAAGCGAGCGCAGGCGGUUUGAUAAGUCUGAAGUUAAAGGCUGUGGCUCAACCAUAGUUCGCUUUGGAAACUGUCAAACUUGAGUGCAGAAGGGGAGAGUGGAAUUCCAUGUGUAGCGGUGAAAUGCGUAGAUAUAUGGAGGAACACCGGUGGCGAAAGCGGCUCUCUGGUCUGUAACUGACCCUGA